CUGAGAGGAUGACCAGCCACACUGGAACUGAGACACGGUCCAGACUCCUACGGGAGGCAGCAGUGGGGAAUAUUGCACAAUGGGCGCAAGCCUGAUGCAGCCAUGCCGCGUGUAUGAAGAAGGCCUUCGGGUUGUAAAGUACUUUCAGCGGGGAGGAAGGGAGUAAAGUUAAUACCUUUGCUCAUUGACGUUACCCGCAGAAGAAGCACCGGCUAACUCCGUGCCAGCAGCCGCGGUAAUACGGAGGGUGCAAGCGUUAAUCGGAAUUACUGGGCGUAAAGCGCACGCAGGCGGUUUGUUAAGUCAGAUGUGAAAUCCCCGGGCUCAACCUGGGAACUGCAUCUGAUACUGGCAAGCUUGAGUCUCGUAGAGGGGGGUAGAAUUCCAGGUGUAGCGGUGAAAUGCGUAGAGAUCUGGAGGAAUAUCGGUGGCGAAGGCGGCC
rnacentral:rRNA from 1 species